rnacentral:rRNA from 1 species
ACAGAGGGGGCAAGCGUUGUUCGGAAUUACUGGGCGUAAAGGGCGCGUAGGCGGCCUUCUAAGUCGAACGUGAAAUCCCGGGGCUCAACCCCGGAACUGCACUCGAUACUGGCGGGCUUGAGACCGGAAGAGGUGGGUGGAAUACCCAGUGUAGAGGUGAAAUUCGUAGAUAUUGGGUGGAACACCGGUGGCGAAGGCGGCUCACUGGUCCGGUUCUGACGCUGAGGCGCGAAAGCGUGGGGAGCAAACAGGA